GGGUUGUGAGGUUAAGCGAACAAGCGUACACGGUGGAUGCCCUGGCAGUCAGAGGCGAUGAAGGACGUGCUAAUCUGCGAAAAGCGCCGGUAAGGUGAUAUGAACCGUUAUAACCGGCGAUGUCCGAAUGGGGAAACCCGGUGCACUUCGGUGCAUCAUCGUUAGCUGAAUACAUAGGCUAACGAGGCGAACCGGGGGAACUGAAACAUCUAAGUACCCCGAGGAAAAGAAAUCAACCGAGAUUCCCCCAGUAGCGGCGAGCGAACGGGGAACAGCCCAGAGCCUGAAUCAGCUUGUGUGUCAGUGGAACGGUCUGGAAAGGCCGGCGAUACAGGGUGACAGCCCCGUACACGAAGGCACACAGGCUGUGAGCUCGAUGAGUAGGGCGGGACACGUGAUAUCCUGUCUGAAGAUGGGGGGACCAUCCUCCAAGGCUAAAUACUCCUGACUGACCGAUAGUGAACCAGUACCGUGAGGGAAAGGCGAAAAGAACCCCGGCGAGGGGAGUGAAACAGAACCUGAAACCGUGUACGUACAAGCAGUGGGAGCCUUCGUAAGAGGGUGACUGCGUACCUUUUGUAUAAUGGGUCAGCGACUUAUAUUCUGUAGCAAGGUUAACCGUAUAGGGGAGCCGAAGGGAAACCGAGUCUUAACCGGGCGUUAAGUUGCAGGGUAUAGACCCGAAACCCGGUGAUCUAGCCAUGGGCAGGUUGAAGGUUGGGUAACACUAACUGGAGGACCGAACCGACUAAUGUUGAAAAAUUAGCGGAUGACCUGUGGCUGGGGGUGAAAGGCCAAUCAAACCGGGAGAUAGCUGGUUCUCCCCGAAAGCUAUUUAGGUAGCGCCUCGUGAACUCAUCUCCGGGGGUAGAGCACUGUUUCGGCUAGGGGGCCAUCCCGGCUUACCAACCCGAUGCAAACUGCGAAUACCGGAGAAUGUUAUCACGGGAGACACACGGCGGGUGCUAACGUCCGUCGUGAAGAGGGAAACAACCCAGACCGCCAGCUAAGGUCCCAAAGUCAUGGUUAAGUGGGAAACGAUGUGGGAAGGCCCAGACAGCCAGGAUGUUGGCUUAGAAGCAGCCAUCAUUUAAAGAAAGCGUAAUAGCUCACUGGUCGAGUCGGCCUGCGCGGAAGAUGUAACGGGGCUAAACCAUGCACCGAAGCUGCGGCAGCGACACUGUGUGUUGUUGGGUAGGGGAGCGUUCUGUAAGCCUGCGAAGGUGUGCUGUGAGGCAUGCUGGAGGUAUCAGAAGUGCGAAUGCUGACAUAAGUAACGAUAAAGCGGGUGAAAAGCCCGCUCGCCGGAAGACCAAGGGUUCCUGUCCAACGUUAAUCGGGGCAGGGUGAGUCGACCCCUAAGGCGAGGCCGAAAGGCGUAGUCGAUGGGAAACAGGUUAAUAUUCCUGUACUUGGUGUUACUGCGAAGGGGGGACGGAGAAGGCUAUGUCGGCCGGGCGACGGUUGUCCCGGUUUAAGCGUGUAGGCUGACUUUCCAGGCAAAUCCGGAAGGUUAAGGCUGAGGCGUGAUGACGAGGCACCACGGUGCUGAAGUGACAAAUGCCCUGCUUCCAGGAAAAGCCUCUAAGCAUCAGGUAACAUCAAAUCGUACCCCAAACCGACACAGGUGGUCAGGUAGAGAAUACCAAGGCGCUUGAGAGAACUCGGGUGAAGGAACUAGGCAAAAUGGUGCCGUAACUUCGGGAGAAGGCACGCUGACAUGUAGGUGAAGCCCCUGCGGGUGGAGCUGAAGUCAGUCGAAGAUACCAGCUGGCUGCAACUGUUUAUUAAAAACACAGCACUGUGCAAACACGAAAGUGGACGUAUACGGUGUGACGCCUGCCCGGUGCCGGAAGGUUAAUUGAUGGGGUUAUCGCAAGAGAAGCUCCUGAUCGAAGCCCCGGUAAACGGCGGCCGUAACUAUAACGGUCCUAAGGUAGCGAAAUUCCUUGUCGGGUAAGUUCCGACCUGCACGAAUGGCGUAAUGAUGGCCAGGCUGUCUCCACCCGAGACUCAGUGAAAUUGAACUCGCUGUGAAGAUGCAGUGUACCCGCGGCAAGACGGAAAGACCCCGUGAACCUUUACUACAGCUUGACACUGAACAUUGAGCCUUGAUGUGUAGGAUAGGUGGGAGGCUUUGAAGCGUGGACGCCAGUCUGCGUGGAGCCGACCUUGAAAUACCACCCUUUAAUGUUUGAUGUUCUAACCUGGCGCCGUGAUCCGGCGUGGGGACAGUGUCUGGUGGGUAGUUUGACUGGGGCGGUCUCCUCCCAAAGUGUAACGGAGGAGCACGAAGGUCAGCUAAUCCUGGUCGGACAUCAGGAGGUUAGUGCAAUGGCAUAAGCUGGCUUGACUGCGAGAGUGACGGCUCGAGCAGGUGCGAAAGCAGGUCAUAGUGAUCCGGUGGUUCUGUAUGGAAGGGCCAUCGCUCAACGGAUAAAAGGUACUCCGGGGAUAACAGGCUGAUACCGCCCAAGAGUUCAUAUCGACGGCGGUGUUUGGCACCUCGAUGUCGGCUCAUCACAUCCUGGGGCUGAAGUAGGUCCCAAGGGUAUGGCUGUUCGCCAUUUAAAGUGGUACGCGAGCUGGGUUUAGAACGUCGUGAGACAGUUCGGUCCCUAUCUGCCGUGGGCGCUGGAGAAUUGAGGGGGGCUGCUCCCAGUACGAGAGGACCGGAGUGGACGCAUCACUGGUGUUCGGGUUGUCAUGCCAAUGGCACUGCCCGGUAGCUAAAUGCGGAAGAGAUAAGUGCUGAAAGCAUCUAAGCACGAAACUUGCCCCGAGAUGAGUUCUCCCUGAGACU
rnacentral:rRNA from 1 species